rnacentral:misc_RNA from 1 species
GAUGAAGAACGUAGCGAAAUGCGAUGAGUAAUGUGAAUUGCAGAAUUCAGUGAAUCAUCGAAUCUUUGAACGCACAUUGCGCCCGCCAGUAUUCUGGCGGGCAUGCCUGUUCGAGCGUCAUUUCAACCAUCAAGCCCCGGGCUUGUGUUGGGGACCUGCGGCUGCCGCAGGCCCUGAAAUGCAGUGGCGGGCUCGCUGUCACUCCGAGCGUAGUAGUUACAUCUCGCUCUGGGCGUGCUGCGGGUUCCGGCCGUUAAAAGCCUUAUUUACCCAAGGUUGACCUCGGAUCAGGUAGGAAGACCCGCUGAACUUAAGCAUAUCAAUAAGCGGAGGA